GACGUAGGGGGCCAGCGUUGUUCGGAAUUACUGGGCGUAAAGGGCUCGUAGGCGGCCAACUAAGUCAGACGUGAAAUCCCUCGGCUUAACCGGGGAACUGCGUCUGAUACUGGAUGGCUUGAGUUCGGGAGAGGGAUGCGGAAUUCCAGGUGUAGCGGUGAAAUGCGUAGAUAUCAGGAGGAACACCGGUGGCGAAAGGCGCCACUCUGGGGCCGGUACUGACGUGAGGAGCGAAAGCGUGGGGAGCAAACAGG
rnacentral:rRNA from 1 species